CUACGUACUGUGCAAACGUUAUUCGGAAUCACUGGGCUUAAAGGGUGCGUAGGCGGUCAGAUAAGUAGGAUGUGAAAUCCCCCGGCCUAACCGGGGAACUGCGUUCUAAACUGUCUGACUCGAGUGAGAUAGGGGUGUGUGGAACUUCCAGUGGAGCGGUGAAAUGUGUUGAGAUUGGAAGGAACGCCGGUGGCGAAAGCGACACACUGGGUCUUAACUGACGCUGAGGCACGAAAGCUAGGGUAGCGAACGGGAUUAGAAACCCCAGUAGUCC
rnacentral:rRNA from 1 species